UACGUAGGGACCGAGCGUUGUCCGGAAUCAUUGGGCGUAAAGAGCGUGUAGGCGGCCACUUAAGUCCUGCGUGAAAUCUUGCGGCUCAACCGCAAGCGGUCGUGGGAAACUGGGUGGCUAGAGUGCGGGAGAGGAGAGUGGAAUUCCUGGUGUAGCGGUGGAAUGCGCAGAUAUCUGGAGGAACACCGAUGGCGAAGGCAGGUCUCUGGGCCGAUACUGACGCUGAGGAGCGAAAGCGUGGGGAGCGAACAGG
rnacentral:rRNA from 1 species